rnacentral:rRNA from 1 species
GGGGGAAACCCUGAUCCAGCCAUUCCGCGUGUGCGAUGAAGGCCUUCGGGUUGUAAAGCACUUUUGGCAGGAAAGAAAUCGCACGGGUUAAUACUCCGUGUGGAUGACGGUACCUGCAGAAUAAGCACCGGCUAACUACGUGCCAGCAGCCGCGGUAAUACGUAGGGUGCAAGCGUUAAUCGGAAUUACUGGGCGUAAAGCGUGCGCAGGCGGUUCGGAAAGAAGGAUGUGAAAUCCCAGGGCUUAACCUUGGAACUGCAUUNUUAACUCCCGGGCUAGAGUAUGUCAGAGGGAGGUGGAAUUCCGCGUGUAGCAGUGAAAUGCGUAGAUAUGCGGAGGAACACCGAUGGCGAAGGCAGCCUCCUGGGAUAAUACUGACGCUCAUGCACGAAAGCGUGGGGAGCAAACAGGAUUAGAUACCCUGGUAGUCCACGCCCUAAACCGAUGUCAACCUAGCUGUUGGGGCCUUCGGGCAUUAGNAGCG